UCAAACACCCGGUCCUGGAUUAGUUUAGAGAACUUCAAAGGCCUGAUGCUCUGGAAUCCAAGCUGAUGAUUUGAGGGGCAAACAGUUGCAGCUUUCACUUUUGCGACAUCAGCACCCAUGCUAGUGGGGACCUUAUGGAUCUUUUUGUUUCGAGUAAAUGGCAUUAGUGCACUGCGUAUGGUCGAUAGCACCCGAUCAUUAUUGCCAAGACUUUCAACACUAAAUCAAUCAAUGACUCAACAGAUUUUGCACACUAUUUGUCUUCUCAUUCCAUGAUCGGCUCCUCCUAUUUCAUCUCUGAUAACCUGAGCUUCUUUUGAGGUGACUUGUAGUGGAAACUACUUCAAAAUCUCUGGUAUUUUUGUCACUCGAAAAUGGUAUAGACUCUGCGACUUGACGAGGCAAGAAACUAACUUUGGUUCCACUAUUGGUAAAAAGAAUUAUCAUCUUUUUGCCAGGUUGGAGGUCGUUGUACUGGUAGAAUAUCGUUGAGGCUGGUUUUUUGUUUUUUAUGGUUAUCUUGUAUCAGGAUGAAGUUGAUGGCAGUCCCCUGUGAAACAAUAUAAUCAAAUAUUUUGUGGUUGCCAUGUUUUUUCUACUAUUUAUGUAUACAGGUUUGUUCUUUUUUUUUCCUUAUAUUUAUUGACCGAGGUUUCUUCCAUUGAUUUUGAGAGCACAUUUUCUAAGCAUAACACCAAAUUGCAACUGUACUUCUGAAUGUGAAUACCUGAUAAGGCUGGUUUUUCAGGAUCACCUUCUUCUUAAGAAAACCAGGGCUUCCACACUAAAACAGGGUGAGGGGGUGCGUGUGUAUGACAAACAUAAACAGCUACGACAUCAGGGAACGGACGGAAGUACAUACAUAUUAUAAACAGCAACGACAACAGGGAAGGGACGGAAGUACAUACAUAUUAUAAACAGCAACGACAGCAAGG